CAGACUGGUGCCUCAGACUACCAAUUCUUGCCUGUAACACAGAAAGUGGACCAACUCACAGCUUGAGCAAGAAAAAAGAGAAUUUUCUUCAUCUUCAUUGGUCCGUGCAUCACAGAGCCGACUCCCAUCAAACACUGCAGGCGUUCAAGACAGCAAAUCACUUCAGCUAACUGAAGAAAGAGAUAGAAAUAUGAAGCUUUCCAUUCUCUUCCUGGUGGUGUUCUCUGUCAUUGUGGUCUGUGUGGAUAACAAAGACGUUGAGACGUUCAAAAACCAGCAUAUCAUCGAAACAGAUGUAAAAGAUGUAAAAGAAUGUGGUCCGAUAAAAGACAGGGGAAUCAAAGUUGGUAAAGAAAGAAACACCUUCAUCUUGAGCACUUUUGACAAAGUUAAAGCUAUUUGUACAGAAAAACAACGUGUUUCUGACAAUGACAAUCUUUAUAGAAGCUCUGAAGAGAUGGACAUUUUGCACUGCAAACUGCAAGGUGACAAAAAAACAUACAAAGGCGUAAUUAUAAAGAAACAUAUUGAAAUUGCAUGUGAUGAUGAUCUUCAACCUGUCCACUUCCAAUGCUGCUUUUGAUUUGAGAGCUGCUCUGUACUCACUGUGAUCUUUCUAUCAUUGUUUCAUGAUGUUGCUUUGGAUUUCUUCAGAUUUGAAAUUCUUAAGACUUUGUAAAGUUUGCAUAAAUAAUAAUGGGAAUAUUAUUAUUAAAGGAAUACGAAAGAAUUGUUUGUCAGUGAAUGUGAAAAAAUAUCACAAUCACAAGAGUUAUUGAAACAACUUUUGACUUUCUUGUCUCACUUGCAUAAGUAAAUCUACAUUCUGACAUUUUUUCUAACUGGCUGUUCAUCCUGUUCUCUCAGGUCACAGUCAUUGCUUGUCUUUCAGCAUUCAAUAAAUAAUCUACAAAAAAAAAACCAA
ensembl:lncRNA